rnacentral:tRNA from 1 species
GGCCUAGUAGUGUAAUGGUAACGCGACCACGAAUAGGAUGUGGAGGAUGAUGGGUUCGAGUCCCGUCCUUGGCCA